CUAAUUGCUCCUGUUUUUGCAUCGAUUCUGCGCAGCGUGGAAAAGCGAGUCUCCAACUUGCUUGUGGAUUUAUUGACCACCGGGUCCCUCCUCAGCUUUCACCUUCCAGGCCUCGCCCACUCUAUUUUGGGGGCAGGAGCUGGGACACAGCACCUGUUUCCUCCUCUCCAAGCAUGGGCUGGGCAUUUUGACGGCUUCGCCUUUCCACCAAGCCAGGUGUUGGUGCUUCUGUAUUUUCCAGCUCACCAUCCCUCCCCGCCCCCCUACGCAUCCCUAUUUCCGUGGCUGAGGGCCCGGGGAGAAGAGAAAUCCGCCCUCACACACCAGAUCCCCAGCUAGCUACCUGCUCUGGAGGGCACCAGGCGGACCGCGCGGACCCACCUGCCUCCAAAGUUUGGGGCGUGGGGGAGCCGGGGCACGUGGCGUGUAGCUAUGGCUCAGCCUGGGGGUCCGGAGCAGCCCCGGGAACAUGCCGCUGGGGACGGAUUCACCGACGUCAUCAGGAGCCGAGCUGUGGUUAAGAAUCCGCCUGCCAGUGCAGGGGACACGGGUUCGAUCCCUGGUCCGGGAAGAUCCCCCAUGCUGCAGAGCAGCUAAGCCUGUGCACCACAACUACUGAGCCUGCAUGCCACAACUACUGAAGCCCACACGCCUAGAGCCUGUGCUCCGUAACAAGAGAAGCCACCGCAGUGAGAAGCCCGUGCACCGCAAUGAAGAGUAGCCCCCGCUCGCUGCAACCAGAGAAAGCCCACGCGCAGAAACGAAGACCCAACACAGCCAAAAGAAUUGUCGACUGUCACACAGAAAAUCCUAUAGCUUUGGGGGACAUACUUGUCAUCAGGGCCUCUUUGCUUUGCUGUCAUACCAUUUCUGCUUCCACUAGAAACAAAAUAUUUGGAGGAGGGUAGGGAGGUGAAAUAGGCAGCAAGCCAGAGUUCAGUCAGCAGGACAGUAAGACAUAAAAUGCUAAGAAUGCCUAGGAAAAUGCUACUGAAGUAGAGUGUGAUCAAUAUUGGGCCUGAGGCACAUGGCAAAGAGGAAAGAUUCUGUAGAUGAGUAGAAAUGGUCCUGUGGAUGUUGGAGCAAUAGGAGCUGUCUGUCAUGGACUUUGUCUUUGCAGGGGCUUAGCGGAGGGCUUUUUACUCUGAGAAACCAGUCCUGUGGCAGGCCAAGAGAAUAGAAACUAUAUCAACCUAGGAACAGUUAGGUAUAUAUUUGAAAAAAUAGAAAUAUAUUUAUUUAAAAUUGUUUCCUGAUGCCAAAAGAGGCAGUGUACAGAGUGGCAGAAACCUACAUAUUGAACAUUAAGGUCAAUAAGAUAGGAAUUCAAUCUCAGUUCAUCCUAUAACCAUGUGUAAGUUAUUCUUUAUCUCUAAAAUGGUAAGAAGCAUAUUUAGAGUACAAAUAAAGAACGGAAGAUAAUAGAUGUAAAUUUCAGUGUACAAUGCCUGGCCGUAGAUCAGUGGUGAUUGACAUUCACUGUUGUUGUGGUUUCCACACAAACAAGCACGAGAAUUCUGUCAGCAUUAUUACAAACAAUGAAUUGCAUAUGAACUGAUCCUUUAAGUGUACGGUCACAACCCAGCUUUAAGUGGAUAAAGCAGUACAAUGAAACCCAUAUUACCUACAAGUACAGAAACAGGAUCACCCUGAACUUGAAACAGAAGACUGAAAAUCGCUUUACAAAAUACAUAGUAUAGAGUCCACAAUCUUGAUUCCUUUCGUCCUUGCAUUGGGAGAAAUAGUUGUGUCUGACAAGUUAUAACCAAAACUGAACAGAUGGACACUGUAAGGUGUUGCAUUCCUUAUGGAAUCGAAGAUGUCCUGUGCCUUGGUCAUGAAAGCAGCAGCAUGAGCAGUUACCCCCUCCAAAUACCACCCAGGGCUGCCAGGGACAGGAAGGGUUGGAACAGGAGGGCCAGGUGGGUUUCCACUGCACCGCCACCAUCUGCCAGGAUCUCUGCUGUAUCCGCCUACAUUUGGAAGUUAGGAAAUAGGCAAAAAGACCAUUAAUCCAGGGUUCUUCAAGAAGCUAACUCUGAUGGAGAUUUUAGUUUGCAUAAUAGUAAAGGGAUGGCCUGGUGAUCAAACCCUGUGUAAGGGAAGAGAAGGAAGCAGGAGAAGUCCAGUCGUUUGUGAUGCCGGGCCUCAGAUGUCACCAUGGGGGAGCCCUGGAGAGCCAGGAUCAACGCAUGAUGGGCCAAAAAGGCCAGUACUUGACACUCCUGCUUUCAUCAGUCGUUGGCUUUGGGCUGACCCAGGAAGGGUAUGACCUUGAAAAAAGUGUCUCUUUACAGUAGAGGCAUUCCCUGAAGUGGGUGACAGAUGAAAGCUGGGGCAAAGAUCUGGGGCAAGAUCCUUCCUUGAAGAAGGGUCUUGGUGGUUCAUUGCAUUCAUCAUGUAAGUAAUACUCCAAAGAUUUGACACACCGAAAUAUAGGCUGACUUGAAGUAGCUCUGGUUUGUUUUCAAAGUUAUUUUGCAAACUAUUGUCUUUUGCAAUGAAGAACUAAGUGUCCCGUAGUUGAGAGGUAGAGCUGUGUUUCAUUAUAAAGUACUGCUUUAUUUUCUUUUAAUAUGUUCAUUGAUUUAAUGGUAGAAGCAGAUAUUGACAUCCGUGGUUUUAUAUCUAUCCAAUAUGUGUUCUCCAAGGAUGUACAGUCCUGUUCUUUUUAUUUAUGGGGACCUAAAAAUGAUAGCGGACAAAGAUAACAAGGCUCUGAUUUACUUAGAAUUAAUGUUCAGUUUAAUACUUCAUGUUGACGUGCACUUGAAUUAUAUCCCGCAUUUGUGUGGCUUUGUAGAAUGUGUUUUGGAAUACAUAUUUUCCUCUCUUAAAUAUGACUGCCUGAAUAUUGCUUUUGUUAUUCAUUUGAUGCUUAUUAGCAAAUGCUAGACUAAGCUAGGUGCUCUAUAGACCUAUUUAUGUAAAGCUUGUUGCCAUGGUAACUAAGUGCUUCUCAUUUAGAAAAUAGACCAAAUUUGGUGGGAAAGGAAGAGUAGCUGCCCAAGGAAUCCUUGGCCAUAUUAAGAGCAUGUUUUCUAGGAGUGGAAAGGGAAAAUCAAGGAAAUAAUUCUCCCGUCUCACAGUAAUUCCUAGUAGCUAUUCCUGGGUCAAGUUAUUAAAGAAUCAGUCAUAUGGCAAAAAAUGAGCUUGUCUUAGAGUUUCAUGAUACUUUAUGGUAUAUAUGGUCUCAUCUAUUUACCAAAUAAACUGUGUUCAAAAAAGGAAGGAACAGAAGAAUCGAACAAAAGUCAUUGUUCUU